GACGAACGCUGGCGGCGCGCUUAACACAUGCAAGUCGAGCGAUGAAACUUUAAUAGAACCCUUCGGGGCGAUGAUAAAGGGGAUUAGCGGCGGACGGGUGAGUAACACGUGAGUAACCUGCCCUAGACAUUGGGAUAGCCUCGGGAAACAGGGAUUAAUACCAAAUAAAAUCAUAAUGACACAUGUCAUAACGAUCAAAACUCUGGUGGUCUAAGAUGGACUCGCGUCCCAUUAGCUAGUUGGUAGAGUAAAAGCUUACCCAGGCGGCGAUGGGUAGCCGGAGUGAGAGGGGGAACGGCCAGAUUGGAACUGAGAACCGAUCCAAACUCGUGCGGGAGGCAGCAGUGGGUGAAAUUGCGCAGUGGAGGGAACUCGGAUGCAGCGAGGCCGCGUGAACGAAGAAGGCUUUCGAGUCGUAAAGUUCCUUUAUAUGGGAAGAUAAGGACGGUACCAUAAGAAAAAGCCCCGCCAAACUAGGG
rnacentral:rRNA from 1 species